rnacentral:snRNA from 1 species
UUGCUUUGGCAGUAUGUGUACAAAAACUGGAAGCAUGCAGAGAGUAGCACAGCCCCACGGGCAAGGAAGACACACACCUUCAUGAAGGGUUCCAUACACUU